rfam:Capsicum annuum cultivar Zunla-1 chromosome 6, whole genome shotgun sequence
UAAUGAUGGUGUGGGUCAUUAUAAAGUGAUUUGAAUCUCUCUUAUGCUUGAUAUAAAUUUUAUCUAAUUUAUGCUUAAAACUCAAAAUCUCGCUUCUCAACUU